GAAAAAUUAAAAAGGCUAUAUGCCUUUAGAUAGGAUAAAGAAGGGAGAUUCACUGACACAUUUUUAAUCAGCCCCUUAAUGUGAGCUCUACUCUGUGUCUGUGUGUGUGUGUGUGUGUGUGUGUGUGUGUGUGUGUGUGUGCCUUUAAUUGGGACUUUAGGUUAACGUUCUAAGAGGAAGAUGGUGGGAAUGUGUGUAAGGAAAAUUGAAGGUUAUUCCUUCUUACUGAAAGAGAAAGGUGAUUUAAGUUUCUCCAGUUCAAACACUUUCAGUACGGAAAGCCACAGGCAAAGAACAUAAAAAGCAAAAUCUUCAUUGGAUUAUUCACUGAGGGGACUUCAUAGUAACUGCAUUAAGAAGUUUUAGAUGAGACUCUCCAUUGUUGUGAGUAAAUAACCAGGUUGCAGCUUGUAUUUUGUAAGUACUUGUAUUCAGCCUGCUUUUUGUCUUAAAAUGUUGUACAUAAACACUUCUGAAAAAUGCCAUUGGAAUUUAAAUAACUAUUGGAGUUAAAUAAUUUUGUUUUGCAGAAUUUAAGAGCUCUCACCCUUUGUAUUUCUUCUAAUGUAUUUGCUCUGUUGUAAGAAUUUACACCAAUCAUCCUAUCUAUGUCAGACUAGAAGGCCCUUGAGAUUGAGGACAGUGUUUUGCCACUACACCAUGUCCAUCACCUAGUAGAGUGCCUGGACUCUUGCUGGUCUCCUAUGACUUUUCUUGCCCACUGACCUUUUCAGAAUUUGUCUUCAUAACUCCUCUAGUGAAAAAAGAUGUUGAUGGUACCUGCCAUCAGAAAACUCAAAAUCUAAUUGCUCAGGGGAGAGUCACCAGAAACAGACAACAAGGAAGGGAGUGUUUCCAGUAACUUAGAGAACAAGCAAUAAUUAUCACAGUAGCUUUGAAACCUUAACUGUAUCCCAUCCCUUUUCUGUCCAAUAUAAGUUCCUUAGUGAGACAGCAAAGCACCUUUGCAAUUUGGGCUCUGGUAUGGGACAAAAUAUAAUAACUGUACUAUUGGGAUUUCCUGUGCUUACUUAAUAUCUCUUUUCACUGCAAGUUUGUUCUAUUUUCUUUCUGAUAAUGACCUCUUAUCCUAAUUCCUGGUAUUCAAUUGUCAAAACCUUAGCUUUUGUUCAGUGCUCAACUUGACUGCUGGAUCAGUCAAUGCUUACUAGAGAAGCAGAUUCAAUGUAAGAUACACAAAUAUAUAAAAAUUUACAAGACUGGCUUACAAUGGCCACCCACAGAGUCAGGUAUGAAAGUGUGCAAAAGGUCUGUCUGUACACUGGAGAUGCAAAGGAUCCAGUUGAAGCUCAGUGUAGUGUCCUGUGCAAGUCUGUAUGAGGCCAAAGGGUCUGCAAAGAAAGGCUGCAGGGUCUGCACUAGAGGCUGAAGUUUCUGCACUGGAAACCAGGAGGCAAUGUCCAAGGUGAAGGUGAAGACUGGAGCUCCUCCAAAGAAACAGGAGCAGGCCUUCCUUCUUCAUUUCCCCCCUUCCAUUCAGGCGGCAAGUUCAUUGCUCACUGUCACCCACACCCAGGGUGAGUCUUCUGUCUUCCGUAAAUCCCUUCAGCCACACCCAGAACUAUGCUGAUCCAGUUUACUUGGGUGUUUCUUCCUCAAACUGACACAAUCAGUUGACACAACUGCCAUCUGCUUCCUUCAGGAUUUUAACCAUCCUUACAGUCUCUUUGAGAAAGAUUGAACUUUGAAAUUCCCUUGUUAAAUUUUAAAAUUCUAUUGAAAGUUUUUGUACAAUGUUUCAUUACUUUUACAUUAUGAUUUGUAUGGUAAUUUGACAUCAUAUGAGUGGAAGAGGGCUUUUAUUUUUAUUUUUUAUUUUCUUUUGGUACCGGGGAUCGAACUUGGGUCCUUGCGCUUGCUAGACAGGCAGCAGAACCACUGAGCUAAAUCCUGGCCCUAAAAACCUUUUUAAAACCCCUAUUUUAUGGUUAGUUAAAAGUUUUUAUUUUUUAAAAAAAUAUGCUCCUCCUUGCUAGUUUUUCAAUCUUCAUAUUUUCCCUUUUGAGCAGAAGGUGAUACAAAAAUAAUAUUCAAGCACCUGACAUAUACAAAUUUAUAUAUGGCUUGAGGACUGGAGGCUAUACUCUAUGACUGUGUCUGAAAUUAUUUUCUCGUCUUUAUUACCAGGCAACAAAUAAAUACUCUAAUUCAAAUUUUGUUUUACAUUUAUUAUUACAAAAGUAGUCCACUAUUCAAAAGCUUUCAUACAAUAGUGAAUCUUAGGUAAUUAUUGAUUUUUUUUUUUGGUACAGGGAUCGAACUUGGGUCCUUGCCCUAGCGAGG
rnacentral:lncRNA from 1 species